rnacentral:rRNA from 1 species
AUGCCGUCGUCGUCGUCCUCUCGCGCGCCGGCGCCGAGCAGGGGCGGUGGCUCGGCGGCGGCGAGGGGCUGCGUGGACGUGGACGCCAACACCACGUUCGUGCAGGCCGACCCGGCCACGUUCCGCGCGCUCGUGCAGAGGCUCACGGGCGCGCCGGGGGGAGCUGCAGCCGCGGCGAUGCCGGCUACCGAGAGGCAGCACGCCGCGGGCGCCGCCAUGGUGCCGGUGGUGCCGAUGAGGCGGCCGAAGCUGCAGGAGAGGCGGCGCGCGGCGCCGGCCAGGCUGGAGCUCGCGCGGCCGCAGCCGUUCUACUACCACCACGGCCACCAUCACCACCACCACCAACACCACCACGGGGUCAUGCAGUACUCGCCGGUCUCGACCAUGGACUACGCCCGCGUCUCCUCCUCCGCCUCGUCGCCCUCCCCGUCGCCGCCCUCGUCGUGCUCCUGCGGGGUGGUGAUAAGCCAGGAGGAGGUGGAGAGGGAGGAGAAGGCCAUCGCCUCCAAGGCCUUCUACCUGCACUCGUCACCAAGAGCCGCCCCCGGCGCCGGAGGCGACGCCGCCGAGAGGCCCAAGCUGCUGCCCCUGUUCCCCGUCCACUCCCCACGGAGCUCCUCCUUCGCCUAG